GAUCGCUAGGAGUGUGUACAACUCACCUGCCGAAGCAACUAGCCCUGAAAAUGGAUGGCGCUGAAGCGUCGUGCCUAUACCCGGCCGCCGGCGGCAGAAGGCGGUCGUUUUUGCGAUCGUCGUAAAGCCCCGGUGAGUAGGAGGGUCGCGACGGUGAGCGCAGAAGGGUCUGGGCGUGAGCCUGCCUGGAGCCGCCGUCGGUGCAGAUCUUGGUGGUAGUAGCAAAUACUCCAGCGAGGGCCUGGAGGGCUGAUGUGGAGAAGGGUUCCGUGUGAACAGCCGUUGCACACGGGUCAGUCGAUCCUAAGCCCUAGGCGAAAGCCGAUGAUGAUGGUCGCGGGAUGUCGCGAAUGUUAGAAGGGAUACGCGCAAGAAAGGCCACGUCGAGCCCGGAUGCAGUUUCCUUGCCGCACUUUGCUGUGUUGUACGUCUCUGGGAUAGCGAGAGGUGUUUGGUCUCCGCCUGCGGAAUACACGCAUGGCGUUCCUUCCACCUCGAUCUUCCUUCCCUUUUGCGACAGCACGGCAGUUGUGUCGGCUUUGGAUCUCCUCGCACCGGGUGUGCGCUCUUUCUUGUUGUUUUCACUUCUUCGCUUCAGAACCCCGUCCGUCGGGCGAAAGGGAAUCCGGUUCCUAUUCCGGAACCCGGUUGCGGGACCGUUCUCUCGAUUCUGGUAUUGAGGCGGUAACGCGAAAGACCCCAGAGAUGCCGUCUGGAGCCCCGGGAAGAGUUUUCUUUUCUGUUUGAGCGUUCGGGUUCCAUGGAAUCCUCUCGUAGGGAGAUAUGGAAUGGAGCGCGAAGAGCACCGCAGUUGCUGCGGUGUCCGGGGAGUCCCGUCGGCCCUUGAAAAUCUGGGUGAGGGUCACGUGGAGGCGCC
rnacentral:rRNA from 1 species